AUAUGAAUGAAAUGCUUGCAUAUACAAGGAUAUAUCUCAUAGUUGGUCAUAUCAUCAACCCUCUAAGAGAAAGUAGUUUCGAUUAAAACUUAAGCACACAAUAGAAUAGUGCCCUGAAUUGCUUUAAUCAACCUCCGAAGGUUGUGACUUGGUGCUCUAAAAACCAUUAUAGUGAAAGGCCAAUGGCUGAUGAAAGCCAAUAGAGAUAAUUCCAAUAGUUGAUGUGAUGAGAGCCAAAAGUCCGUAAGAUAUAUCACUUGAUGAAAAUCAACACACCAUUAAAACCAAUAUAUCAUGCCCCAAUCCUUGACUUGGUUACGAGGUGAAAACCAAUAUUCCUACAAAAAGAUGCGAAGGUCUAGUAUACAGGGGGUAACUUAAGUGGGUGGAGAACUACUUACAGUGGUGAGAACCUUAAGUGGGUGGAGAACUACUUACAGUGGUGAGAACCUGCAUGUUAGAGAGAAGAAAUUUCAAUAUUAAAAUGUAACUCGCAUUAUUUUUGAAGGAUGUAACUUGCAUUAUUAAUAUAGUAACAAAAAAUAUAAAUAGAUAAGUUGAUGAAAGCUUGCUUAUGAUCAAGCUUUUGUGGACUUACUUUCUGAGCGUCAUGCUCUAGUUGAUAUCGCAACUCUGGGUUGCUUCGACUGUCAACUUGAACUUAGUCUCGUAGGGGAUAAAACAUUGCAUUGAAAAUGAGUUAGUGAUAUGUUGUCAAAGGUUAGAUAGCCACAUGUAUGAGUAGUGCAAAUAAUCACAUGCUAGAGUUAACUUGUAUUGGUGAAGUCCUGCAAGUUAGUGAGGGAAAAGAAUUCUAAGGUUCACCCAAAGCUAAGAAGCAUUAAACCUCGGAGCUAAUACGGCAAAAGACAUGUUAUACAAAUCUGGCAUACGCGAAUCUAAGAAGCAUGAAGAAAAAAGAUGUCUAAGAAAGCAAACAAAGGUUUAAGUCUUAGCUGGUUAUCACGUGUAACGUUCACCCGAUGAACUGUGCAGAGUUCCAAGCUUAAUGACCCAAAAAUUUUGUGCACUUUUACCAAAGUGGUUAUCGCAGCUAGAUGAUCAUCGAUCGAAGGUGUAUGUGUCAUGCUCGGACAUCAACUCCGGAAGCCGAAACAAUGUUUGAUCAGGUAGACGUUAGCUGUGAGCUUAAGCGGCUAAG
rnacentral:lncRNA from 1 species